AAAAAUCUGGAGAGCGGCGCACACGCCCACCGAAGGGGAAAAGUUUAAGCAUCGCUUAAGCGAAAAUCUCAGGUCACAGGACAGAUAGGG
rnacentral:ncRNA from 1 species